CCUCAAUUUUGAUUUAAUCUUUUUCUGCUUCUUUUCAAAAAAUUGUCGGUGUUACGCUGAAAAUAAUUGUUGUUGUUAUUAUUCAUUUUAACUUUCUCUUCUAUAUCCUUGUUCAUCCCAUAUAUUCUAAAGAAAAGUGAAUUAGUGAAGGUCUUAUUUUGGGCAAAAUAGUUUCUAGCUCUUGUGCAAUUUCUCGAAUUUCAGACUGCUUUGCGAAUUUCUGGUUACUAUUCGGUAAAGAAUAUCUGGUAUUGUGCAAGACUGAAUUUGCUAAAUUUCAUGUCACUCUCUUCAAAUAUUCGCUGCUCAUCGGGUAUCUGUUUUAGGCCUUGUUCUCCGGUGAUACGUUUAUUGCUCAACUUCAGAGUUCUCCUUCGCUUCUUACAAGUAUCAUCUCUCUAUUUUGGAGAGUUACAUUUCCCAUGCACUUGGUGUAUCAUUAUGCUACCAUCAAAACAAGUGAUGUCCGGAAUCUUAGUGACAUCAAGGAUGUUGCUAUAUUUAUUCCUGUAGAACCAUGCUGGGAUAAGAGUUGUUAAGAUCUAGAUGGAACCAUUGCUCGAUACAAGAUUAAUUAGGGUAGGAGCUUGCUUUCAAGAGAAACUGCAGUAAAUAGAGAAUAGAAAGAACUUUAUCUCUGACACAAAUUCUUGAAGAAGUCUGCCCAUGUACCUGAUUCUGUUAAAUGGAAUAGAAGUACCUAUGGUUUUUUCUCAGUUGUUGAAGUCCGUUCUUUUCAAAAAAGUACUGGCGCAUCUGGAACAAGAAUUUCGAGGUGUAUUUGGAAGAGCAAAACAACACCAAAGUUAAUUUUCUUGGAGUGGACUACAUGUCAUAAUGACCUAACUCGAGCAAACCUUUCACAUGCUGGUGAAAUCAUAUGCUUAAGAUGUUAGGUGUGCUUAAAGGAAGCUGAAGUCCAUUUGUUCUUCCAUGUAUCAUUGUUUCUUAGCUUUAUUGCAUGUUCUUGGAUUAUAUUAGCCUUAUUGCAUGUUCUUGGAUUAUAGAAGUAACAAUAGCUGGAUGGGCAAGAAAGUAAAGAACAUCUCAGAAACAUAUGGAAUACAAUUCCGACCUGCAUUUUCUAAGUAGUUUUAUGUGCAAUAAAACUUUGUAUUUACCUACCAAAGGAAAAUCAUGAAACUCUUAAGAAUGUGUUGAACACGUGAUUAUAUUUUUUCAGGGAAGUUGACCCAUCACAUAUUUCCUACA